UGCUAAGCUGUCUCUGCUUCUC
rnacentral:misc_RNA from 1 species